rnacentral:rRNA from 1 species
AUUGAACGCUGGCGGCAGGCCUAACACAUGCAAGUCGAACGGGUGUAGCAAUACACUAGUGGCGAACGGGUGAGUAAUGCAUCGGAACGUACCGUGUAGUGGGGGAUAACCCGGCGAAAGUCGGAUUAAUACCGCAUGAGAUCUAUGGAUGAAAGCAGGGGAUCGUAAGACCUUGCGCUAUAUGAGCGGCCGAUGUCGGAUUAGCUAGUUGGUGAGGUAAAGGCUCACCAAGGCGACGAUCCGUAGCGGGUCUGAGAGGAUGAUCCGCCACACUGGGACUGAGACACGGCCCAGACUCCUACGGGAGGCAGCAGUGGGGAAUUUUGGACAAUGGGCGCAAGCCUGAUCCAGCCAUGCCGCGUGAGUGAAGAAGGCCUUCGGGUUGUAAAGCUCUUUUGUCCGGGAGCAAACCUUUGCACCUAAUACGUGUAGAGCUGAGAGUACCGGAAGAAUAAGCACCGGCUAACUACGUGCCAGCCGCCGCGGUAACAC